UACGGAGGGGCUAGCGUUGUUCGGAAUUACUGGGCGUAAAGCGCGCGUAGGCGGCUUUGUAAGUUAGAGGUGAAAGCCCGGAGCUCAACUCCGGAAUUGCCUUUAAGACUGCAUCGCUAGAAUCAUGGAGAGGUUAGUGGAAUUCCGAGUGUAGAGGUGAAAUUCGUAGAUAUUCGGAAGAACACCAGUGGCGAAGGCGACUAACUGGACAUGUAUUGACGCUGAGGUGCGAAAGCGUGGGGAGCAAACAGG
rnacentral:rRNA from 1 species